UCGGGAAUUUUGGACAAUGGGCGCAAGCCUGAUCCAGCCAUGCCGCGUGAGUGAAGAAGGCCUUCGGGUUGUAAAGCUCUUUUACCAGGGACGAUAAUGACGGUACCUGGAGAAUAAGCCCCGGCAAACUUCGUGCCAGCAGCCGCGGUAAUACGAAGGGGGCUAGCGUUGUUCGGAAUUACUGGGCGUAAAGCGCACGUAGGCGGAUUGUUAAGUCAGAGGUGAAAUCCCGGAGCUCAACUUCGGAACUGCCUUUGAUACUGGCAAUCUAGAGUCCGGAAGAGGUUAGUGGAAUUCCCAGUGUAGAGGUGAAAUUCGUAGAUAUUGGGAAGAACACCAGUGGCGAAGGCGGCUAACUGGUCCGGUACUGACGCUGAGGUGCGAAAGCGUGGGGAGCAAACAGGAUUAGAUACCCAGGUAGUCCCUGAGCGGGCUGGCAAGGCGCAU
rnacentral:rRNA from 1 species